AGCGAACGCUGGCGGCAGGCCUAACACAUGCAAGUCGAACGCCCCUUCGGGGGAGUGGCGGACGGGUGAGUAACGCGUGGGAACGUGCCCUUUGGUACGGAACAACUGAGGGAAACUUCAGCUAAUACCGUAUGUGCCCUACGGGGGAAAGAUUUAUCGCCAUUGGAGCGGCCCGCGUUGGAUUAGGUAGUUGGUGGGGUAAAGGCCCACCAAGCCGACGAUCCAUAGCUGGUCUGAGAGGAUGAUCAGCCACACUGGGACUGAGACACGGCCCAGACUCCUACGGGAGGUAGCAGUGGGGAAUCUUGCGCAAUGGGCGAAAGCCUGACGCAGCCAUGCCGCGUGAAUGAUGAAGGUCUUAGGAUUGUAAAAUUCUUUCACCGGGGAAGAUAAUGACGGUACCCGGAGAAGAAGCCCCGGCUAACUUCGUGCCAGCAGCCGCCGUAACAC
rnacentral:rRNA from 1 species